AGUGAACGCUGGCGGUAGGCCUAACACAUGCAAGUCGAACGGCAGCACAGUAAGAGCUUGCUCUUACGGGUGGCGAGUGGCGGACGGGUGAGGAAUACAUCGGAAUCUACUUUUUCGUGGGGGAUAACGUAGGGAAACUUACGCUAAUACCGCAUACGACCUACGGGUGAAAGCAGGGGAUCUUCGGACCUUGCGCGAUUGAAUGAGCCGAUAUCGGAUUAGCUAGUUGGCGGGGUAAAGGCCCACCAAGGCGACGAUUCGUAGCUGGUCUGAGAGGAUGAUCAGCCACACUGGAACUGAGACACGGUCCAGACUCCUACGGGAGGCAGCAGUGGGGAAUAUUGGACAAUGGGCGCAAGCCUGAUCCAGCCAUACCGCGUGGGUGAAGAAGGCCUUCGGGUUGUAAAGCCCUUUUGUUGGGAAAGAAAAGCAGCAGGUUAAUACCCCGCUGUUCUGACGGUACCCAAAGAAUAAGCACCGGCUAACUUCGUG
rnacentral:rRNA from 1 species